rnacentral:tRNA from 6 species
GGAGAAAUGGCAGAGUGGUCGAUUGCGACAGUCUUGAAAACUGCUGAGGGUCACACCUCCGGGGGUUCGAAUCCCUCUUUCUCCGCUA